GACGGCCCUAUGGGUUGUAAACUUCUUUUGCAGGGGAAUAAAGAUAUUCACGUGUGGGUAGUUGUAUGUACCCUGCGAAUAAGCAUCGGCUAACUCCGUGCCAGCAGCCGCGGUAAUACGGAGGAUGCGAGCGUUAUCCGGAUUUAUUGGGUUUAAAGGGUGCGUAGGUGGGCUAUUAAGUCAGUGGUGAAAGUUUGUCGCUCAACGAUAAAAUUGCCGUUGAAACUGGUGGUCUUGAGUAUGGAUGAAGUAGGCGGAAUGCGUGGUGUAGCGGUGAAAUGCAUAGAGAUCACGCAGAACUCCGAUUGCGAAGGCAGCUUACUAAGGCAUAACUGACACUGAAGCACGAAAGCGUGGGUAUCAAACAGGAUUAGAUACCCUGGUAGUCCACGCAGUAAACGAUGAUUACUAGGAGUUUGCGAUAUAGUGUAAGCUCUACAGCGAAAGCGUUAAGUAAUCCACCUGGGGAGUACGCCGGCAACGGUGAAACUCAAA
rnacentral:rRNA from 1 species